rnacentral:tRNA from 1 species
GGAAACGUGGAUGAGUGGUUUAAGUCACCACCUUGGAAAGGUGGCGUAGGUGAAAGCCUACCGGGAGUUCGAAUCUCCCCGUUUCCGCCA